ensembl:lncRNA
CAUUAAUUUCUCCAGUCCCGUUUCUUCUUCCUUCCUUUCUGUGACUUGGGCCUGUUGAUAGCUAACAUCAGUGCACCAAGAACGCUGAGGUGAGCCUCAGUCCUUUGGCUAUCUGCUUUCUUCAGCUCUUCCUGAAAGAGAAAGCCAAGCAAGCCUAGAUCCAUACAGAAGCUUUUACAGAAACCUCUUGGCAGAAAUGAUAAGCCAACAAAGGCCAAAUUGCUGUAUUUUUGUCUCUGUACUUGUAGACUCACAGCACAUGAAGGCUGGGAGAAAUCAUCCCAAGAGAGGGGACCUUGAAGAUAGUAGUGAUGAUUUCUCUCCAACUCCAGCAGCUACCUCUGCUUUCCUUGUUUGCUUUCCUUGAUAGACCCAGUGGGAGAUGAUGCCAGAAGCACCUGGGGUUGCAGUGGUGCCAGCUGAGGAAAGGACAGGCCGCACUCUCCACAACACCUACCCAAGUUCCCCAGGGUGCUGGAUCAGUUCAGGUCGAAAAGGGGAUGGCUGUUCUGCGCUUGUGCUGUCAGGAGGGCACUCCAGCUCCCUGGGACAGGCAGGUGUGGUGGUGGCACCCAUCCCACGUCUGUGGGCAAAGCAAGGUGUUCAGACAUCGGAAGAGAACAAAUGUUUGUGCUAGUGUUCCAGAGUUGGCCCUGUAGGUCAUCAGCAAGGCUAGCUCAGGCCCACAGUCAACAAGAUGGCAUGGACAAAACCACUGAGCCUCCAGCUUUCACCCUGACACGGUCCUUAUCCAAGACUGUUCCAGGGAUAUUGUCCUUUUAGGAAUUUAUUUUCACUAACUAUUGAUUUAUUUUUUCCAAAGCAAUGACCAUUCCAUUAGUUUUUCACUGAUAAAAAAAGCAAUGACAUGAGCUUUCACCGCAAUGCCCAUUAUGCUGCAGUCAGCCUGAGCUCUCUGCAUGCCUAACCAGGUGAAAUUUAGCAGCCUGCAGUAUGUGUACAUUUGACACUGUGUGAUCUCCUCUGCCCUUAAACCUGGGGAAUUUAUGAGCCUUAUCUUGGCCACUAGACCAUGCUUCUCUUCCUUCACUUCCUCUCCUAUAGUUUUAAAACUUUAUCUGGACCUAGGCUGCUCUUUAUAUCACAUACUCUCUCUUUGAUUUCAAAUAUGGAAGGGAAGUUAUUUAAAAAUAGGUUCCAUCAUAGAUCGUGUUCUGGUAAUUAGGCACAGAGCUAGACCUUGUAAGUACAUCUGUGCCUCCAAGGGAGGUCAGCACAGUUUUGAGGAAGAGAAGAAAGUCUAACUGCUUUCACUGGUGAGAGCCAGAGCUCCCUUUGUAUGGAUUUCUUUGUGCUUGCUUUGACUUUUUUAUUCAGGCUCCCGUUUACUUGACCAACACGGUAGGGGAAAAUGAACCUUGGGUGAGAGCCCUCCAUGCUGAUGGGGCAAAGCAGCAGAGGCUCUGUGACCACAGCACUGCUGUGGAGAUGCUUCUUUAUGUGAAGCUGGGCUGCAACCACACCGAUCUCUUAUGAUCUCUUAUGAAAUACUAGUUGCGUGAUUAUUUCUUAUUGCUCUUUUUUUAAUCAUGCCUAGGAUGAUCUGUGCCUGGCU